CUUGUUUCAAUAUUAGGAAAUUCUGGAUAAAAAAGGAAAUGACUAAGCCUGGAUCGCUUCCUCUGUCACCAUUAUGGUGAAAAGCUUAUGUCCUGGCUGAUCUGGUUUAAUUUUUUUUUUUGUUCCCAGCCAAUUGGAGUCAUAUUUCACGUGCAGUAACCCUUAAAACCCUUCUGCUCAGCCUUCCUUUCCCCAUUAUCUACACUUCCAGCUCUUCAUCUCCCCAGAUUCCUACCUUCCUUGUGACUUCUGACAAUGAUUACAGAUUCUGGCUGGGUGCAGUUCCUGACUAUCUGCUUGCAGAUUUGACCCAUGUUAUGCUGCUGCUCUGUUCACUCUCCAGCCCCAGGAGCCAAUUUUUUGUGCAUCUUCUAUCUCCGUCAUUGGGACUUUCAGCUGUCACCUUAUAAGGCCCUUGUACUUUGGGAUCUUGUGGUUGAAGGGCAACGGAGGAGUAGAAAAUGCCCACCUCUCUAUACCUUCCAUGUGGAAUACAAGGCACAUAUAUGGCACUGGAACUGCUAAAGAGAAAAAUUAUUUGUGCUCAAGCAUUUGAUGGGUUUGUGUAGAAGAGAGAUAUGAACAACACAUAUUGGUGAACUCCACUUACAGGUAAAUUAUACAUCUCUGUAUUUACUAUUUCACAUGUUAGAGAAACUUCAGUGAUAAAUACAGGAGGGAAAAGUGUGCACAAACAGAAAGACAGUACUUACCAAAAAUAGGAUAGCACUGAACGAUGCACACCUAAGAAAAAGUGUCCAUUUGGCACUGAUGAACCUUGCAACAUUUCUAUAGUGAAGAAGAGUUUUAUCUUCAUCUCCCACUGUACAAAGUGAAAUACUGAAAGAUUAAAUGACAUGUUAAUCUAAGAAGUUCGUAGUUCAUUCAGGAAUAGAUGCUAUGGAACAUCUGCCAUGAACACACGUACCACAAAGAUCUGUCCUUAAAACAUGCAAACUCAAACACCAAAGGUGAGACCCUUGUUUGCUGUUGACAGCAUCACUCCCCAUUACCUUCAAGGUAGCACUUUGUAGCAGCUGGUCAUCAGACUGCUUUUCUUCAUGUCCUCCAUUUGAGGGAAUAAAGACUUGGCGGUGUGGAUGUCA
rnacentral:lncRNA from 1 species